rnacentral:rRNA from 1 species
UAUUGGACAAUGGGGGAAACCCUGAUCCAGCCAUGCCGCGUGUGUGAAGAAGGCCUUUUGGUUGUAAAGCACUUUAAGCAGUGAAGAAGACUCCGUGGUUAAUACCCACGGACGAUGACAUUAGCUGCAGAAUAAGCACCGGCUAACUCUGUGCCAGCAGCCGCGGUAAUACAGAGGGUGCAAGCGUUAAUCGGAAUUACUGGGCGUAAAGGGAGCGUAGGUGGCUCUAUAAGUCAGAUGUGAAAUCCCCGGGCUUAACCUGGGAACUGCAUCUGAAACUGUAGAGCUAGAGUAUGUGAGAGGAAGGUAGAAUUCCAGGUGUAGCGGUGAAAUGCGUAGAGAUCUGGAGGAAUACCGAUGGCGAAGGCAGCCUUCUGGCAUAAUACUGACACUGAGGCUCGAAAGCGUGGGUAGCAAACAGGAUU